CCUGCCCAGUGACAAACGUUAAACGGCCGCGGUAUUCUGACCGUGCAAAGGUAGCAUAAUCAUUUGUUCUUUAAAUAAGGACUUGUAUGAAUGGCCACACGAGGGUUUUACUGUCUCUUACUUCCAAUCAGUGAAAUUGACCUUCCCGUGAAGAGGCGGGAAUAAGAAAAUAAGACGAGAAGACCCUAUGGAGCUUUAACUAGUUAGCUUAAAGAAAAAAAAACUUUACCACCAAGGAAUAACACUAAUCUUAAUAAACUAACAGUUUCGGUUGGGGUGACCUCGGAGAAUAAAAAACCCUCCGAGCGAUUUUAAAAACAAGACACACAAGUCAAAUUGAAUUAUCGCUUAUUGAUCCAAAAUUUGAUCAACGGAACAAGUUACCCUAGGGAUAACAGCGCAAUCCUAUUCAAGAGUUCAUAUCGACAAUAGGGUUUACGACCUCGAUGUUGGAUCAGGACACCCCGAUGGUGCAACCGCUAUCAAAGGUUCGUUUGUUCAACGAUUAAAGUCCUACGUGAUCUGAG
rnacentral:rRNA from 1 species